UGGGGAUGGGGAAGUCACGCGACUGUAGCGCGAGGUUGUUGUGAAAUGAGGAAUUGGGGGCUGGGGAGUUGCGCGGGAGGCCAAGGUCCUGGGGCUGAUUCUGGGAAGUCACGGGAUUCUGGGGGUCUCUCUGACUCUUCCCUGCCUCAGGACCUUUGCACAUGCCAAGUCUUCUGCCUAAACAGGCCUCAGCUAAGCGAAUUUUCAUUCAUUCUGCAGAGCUCAGGUCUAAUGUCACUUCCCCACAGAGGGCUUUUCUGACUCCAGACCAGGGGUGGACCUCACGACCCCCAGGUUCUCAGAGGCCGGAGGGACGCCUCCCUGGGUUCGUCGCCCUGCAGCCGCCCACCUUGAGCACCAAUUUGCUGGCAAAGUAGAAAAGGGCAACAACCCGGCCCCAGUUGAAGUUGCCGUCGGAAAACAUCUC